ACUGGGCAUGGUGGCACAUGCCUGUAAUCCCAGCAGCUCAGGAGGCUGAGACAGGAGGAUCGCAAGUUCAAGGCCAGUCUCAGCAAUUUAGUGAGGCCCUAAGCAACUUGGUAAGAUUCCGUCUCUA
rnacentral:sRNA from 1 species